rnacentral:rRNA from 1 species
GACGAACGCUGGCGGCGUGCCUAAUACAUGCCAGUCGAGCGGACUGAAUGGGAGCUUGCUCUUGUUCGGUCAGCGGCGGACGGGUGAGUAACACGUGGGCAACCUGCCCGCAAGACCGGGAUAACUCCGGGAAACCGGAGCUAAUACCGGAUAACACCGAAGACCGCAUGGUCUUUGGUUGAAAGGCGGCGCAAGCUGCCACUUGCGGAUGGGCCCGCGGCGCAUUAGCUAGUUGGUGAGGUAACGGCUCACCAAGGCGACGAUGCGUAGCCGGCCUGAGAGGGUGACCGGCCACACUGGGACUGAGACACGGCCCAGACUCCUACGGGAGGCAGCAGUAGGGAAUCUUCCGCAAUGGGCGAAAGCCUGACGGAGCGACGCCGCGUGAGCGAAGAAGGCCGUCGGGUCGUAAAGCUCUGUUGUGAGGGACGAAGGAGCGCCGUUUGAAGAAGGCGGCGCGGUGACGGUACCUCACGAGGAAGCCCCGGCUAACUACGUG